GAGGUGUUUCCACCUCAUAUACUAAAUUGGAAACGAUACAGAGAAGAUUAGCAUGGCCCCUGCGCAAGGAUGACACGCAAAAUCGUGAAGCGUUUCCAAAUUUU